CGGCUCAGUAAUGUUGCGAUGAUUUGCUCUUGUUGAUAUAGAUAACCACGGUAAGCUGUGGCUAAUAAUGAAGAAUAAGACGCAACCCUAUCAGUUAGUUGGUAGUGUAAAGGACUACCAAGACGAUGACGGGUGACGGGAAAUCAGGGUUUGAUUCCGGAGAGGGAGCCUGAGAGAUGGCUCCCACGUCCAAAAACGGCAGCAGGCGCGAAAAUUGCCCACUCUUUUAUGAGGAGGCAGUUAUGAGACGUAAGAUUAANCGGGCNCAGUAAACAAGUGCUUANUUCAUUGGAGGGCAA
rnacentral:rRNA from 1 species